GGGCACAUAGCUCAGCUGGUUAGAGUGCUGCCCUCACAUGGCAGAGGUCAGAGGUUCGACUCCUCUUGUGCCCA
rnacentral:tRNA from 1 species